GUGUCUUUUGAGAGCAGAAGUUUUUAAUUUUAAUUAAGUCCAAAUUAUCCAUUUUUUUAUGACUCAUACCUUUGGUAUUGUAUCUAAAAAGGCAUUGCUAAACCAAAGGUCACCUAGAUUUUCUCCCAUGUCAUCUUCUAGAAGUUUUGUAGUUUUGCAUGUUAUACUUAGGUGAAUAAUCAAUUUUGAGAUAAUUUUUGUGAGUCAUGUAAAAUCAGAUUCUAGAUUAUUUUUGACAUGUGGAGAUCCAGCUUUUCUACCACCAUUUGUUGAAAAGAUUAUUCUUUCUCCAUUGAAUUGGCUUCGCACCUUUACCAAAGACCAAUUGAUUGUAUUUGUGUGGGUCUCUUUCUGGGUUUCUUAUUCUGUUCCACUGACCUAUUUGUUAUUCUUUCAACAAUAUGACACUGUCUUGAUUAUUGUGGCUUUAUGUAAGUCUUGAAAUCAGGCGGUAGCCUUCCUCUGGCUUUAUUCUUCUUCUUCAAUAUUGUGCGGGCUAUUCUGAAUCUUUCCCGGCUUCCUUUUAACUCAAUAACGCAAGUGAGGAUAUUUAGAAGUCUCUUUUCUCAGUCCUCCACUUCUCUUGUCAUGAACUCAGGCCAGUGGCAUCUAUACACAUGAGUGAUUUCUUAAUUUUUCCCCAUUUCUAUCAUUUUUCUUCCAUAUUUUAAAAGAUUGUAUCCACAAAACUGCCUUUGUUUCACAGAUUUGCUUCAUCAAAGAUAUCUAUAACUUCUGGUCAGAGAUUCCAAUCAGCAUGAGAUAUCAUUGUUACUGACGAUUUUGAUAUGUCUGCCACAAAAGUAAACAGCAUUAUGCAACCUAAUGCCAAGUCUAACGUGAUGCCAAAUUAAGUUUAAGUGAGGCACCAAAAUAAAUUAGGUGCUGGCUUCCGAAUGAGACAGUGGACUAUAUGUAGGCCAUCUUGGGAGGUGACCCACUUUGUGCCCAGCUGCCACCAGCUGGAAACAUUUUUGGAAUGAAGAAUGACCUGUCCAAGGACUAGGGACCAGGUGGGCCAGUUAAACCCACUGUGCCUGUGGAGUCUUGGGUUAUCCUGUGAUGUUGGCCAAGACAGCUUCUUGUCUUUAUGCCAUGUGACGAAUGGGCCUGGUAGACAAUCACUGGGACAACCACGUGCAACAAGACAGCCAUUCAGUGCAGCAAGGAAGUUGCAUGCUAUUAUAAGUAGGUACUCUUCAGUCUUACACUUUGCUGAGAUUGUUGCUUGCUUGCAAUUUUAUAAUAUUUUUAUUGAAGAUUAAAGUAAGCCACAUUCUUCAAUGCCCCAAGGAGAAAGGAAAAGAUUUCAUUAGCUGCCACCGCUGUCUAUCCUAAAAGAAUGUUGCCCUGUCACCUAGGAGGGAAGCAAUGGCUGACCUCCAGCCACCUCUUCUAAGAUGGGGCUAGGGAAGGUAGAAGUGGGGGACUCCUGCUCUACUCAGACUUCUGAGGAAGUUCCAGGAGAAAAUAUUCACAAAGAAGGCACUGAGAAGGCAGUAAAUGUUUAAUAGCCACUCUUAUCUGAUUACUGCUCCAUGUUAUCCUGAGUAUAAAAGGAGGCUUCCUUUAAAACAAAAAUCUUCUGAUUGACUUAUGCCUUUUUCUGUUUUGAACCUUUACUUGCUGAAGAAUAAGAUGGGUAGGAGAAGGAGGGAGAGAAGGAGGAGCAGAAGGAUGAGGAGGAUUGGGGAGAAGAGGAAGAAGAAAAAGAAGAGG
rnacentral:lncRNA from 1 species